rnacentral:rRNA from 1 species
GAUUAAGUUAUUAAGGGCGCACGGUGGAUGCCUUGGCACUAGAAGCCGAUGAAGGACGUUACUAACGACGAUAUGCUUUGGGGAGCUGUAAGUAAGCUUUGAUCCAGAGAUUUCCGAAUGGGGAAACCCAGCAUGAGUUAUGUCAUGUUAUCGAUAUGUGAAUACAUAGCAUAUCAGAAGGCACACCCGGAGAACUGAAACAUCUUAGUACCCGGAGGAAGAGAAAGAAAAUUCGAUUCCCUUAGUAGCGGCGAGCGAAACGGGAAGAGCCCAAACCAACAAGCUUGCUUGUUGGGGUUGUAGGACACUCUGUACGGAGUUACAAAGGACGACAUUAGACGAAUCAUCUGGAAAGAUGAAUCAAAGAAGGUAAUAAUCCUGUAGUCGAAAAUGUUGUCUCUCUUGAGUGGAUCCUGAGUACGACGGAGCACGUGAAAUUCCGUCGGAAUCUGGGAGGACCAUCUCCUAAGGCUAAAUACUCUCUAGUGACCGAUAGUGAACCAGUACCGUGAGGGAAAGGUGAAAAGCACCCCGGAAGGGGAGUGAAAUAGAACCUGAAACCGUGUGCUUACAAGUAGUCAGAGCCCGUUAAUGGGUGAUGGCGUGCCUUUUGUAGAAUGAACCGGCGAGUUACGAUUUGA